AAGAAAGAAGAGAGAAGAAAAGAGAAAGCGAAGGAUAAAAAAAAUUAAGUAAGUAAGUAAGAAAGGAAAAUAGAAAGAAAGAAAGAAGGUAAGGAAGGAAGAAAGAAAGAAAAACGCGAGUCUCUCGAAAAUACGAUCGUUUUCCUCGAAUGAGAUAGGAAUAAAAUCUCGAACGCGCGCGGAGGAGUUUUCAUGGCAGGCGCGUGCGGCCGAGAGUGCGAAAUACGCGCUUGACCUUAGAGCCAGUCAUCGCACCGCGAGGUCGACGGAUAAAUCGCCGGAGUGGAAAACAAGAAACCGACGCGCGGCGCGCCGGCGCUCUCUCUCUCUCUCUCUCUCUCUCUCUCUCUCUCUUUUUUCUGUCUGUCUGUCUAUCUGUCUCUCUUUCUCUCUCACUUCUCCUUCUUCGACGCGUCGAAUCGCAUCCAACCGAAUGAACGAACGAACGAACGAACGAACGGAAGGAGCCUUAUCUACUCUCACGAUGAAAUAAGAAGCCAGUUUCCAUACUUGAGUUCGACCAGAAAGCAUUCAUUAUUUAAACUUUCAAAGCGAAUGGAUCCAAAGAGGUUGGAGGAGAUUGGAAGAGGUUUGGCGGUGGUUGGCGGAGAUUGAAGGAGAUUGAAGGAGGAGAAGGAAGAGGAGGAGAAGGAGGAGGAAGAGGUCGAUAUCGUCGUCAGAGCACUUUCGUUGCCGUUACGCGAGCGCCGAUCCAACGAGUGACUACUGAAAGGAGAAAUGGGAACGAGCAGUGGUUCUUCUCCCGCUAAAAUAAUCAUCAUUUUAAUUUUAAUUGCAGUGAAUAAAUGAAAUGAAAAAUUCACAGUAACGUUUAUGACAACGAGAUGACGAAGACGACGUUGACGAUGGGGGAUGAUGAGGAUGAGGAUGAUAAGGAUGAUGUGGAUGAUGAUGAUGAUGAUGAUGAUGAUGAUGAUGAUGAUGAUGAUGAUGAUGAUGACGAGGAUGACGAUCGCAAGGACGCGGCCGAGCGUUCGCGCGGAAACGAGUCGACGUGAGUAGGUCAACGACUUUGAGUCGAUGCAAACAGCCUUGCGUCUAACGAGCCAACGAUCCCUCAACGACUACGAUGACGACGACGACGACGACGACGACGAAGACAACGGAGACGGAGACGGAGACGAUUCUCAGUUGCUCUACUUUGAUUAUGUAGGUUAUUCGCGGAAAAAAAAAGGAAAGAAAAAAAAAAGAAGGAAAAAAGAAAAAACGGUGACGAGCACCGGUCAUCAUUUUAUCCGCCUACUAAAAAUACUUCGAUCGAUAGACCGAUAUAUCGGCUUUUUCCAACGAAAAACACGAGAGAACGUCGCAAAUAAGUUGUCGCAUAUCGUUCGCCAAUAAAAUAAUUUUCCAUUUCUUAUAGAAAUUAUAAAGAGAAUGCAAAAAAAAAAAAAAAGAAAGAAAAAGAAGAAGAAGAAGAAGAAAAAAAAGAAGAUCUAAUUUUUCUAAUCGUUCCAGUUUUAUCGCGUUAAAAUAUUUCUUAUUAGAACAAAUCCAAAUUUUACAUAGAAUAUGAUUAAAAAUCUGCAAAUAGGUAAAUGUGAGAAAUUUCUAAUUUGAAAAUUAUAAAUAUUGAUUUGUA